AAUGAUAAACAAAAAGAUUUUUAUAGCGGGGGGGAUACUGAUCGCUUCGGAAAUCGUUUGGCAGUUGUACAAGAUAUUUCCGAAUUUUCGGAAAACAUGCGUCCACGAAUCGAAACGAAAAAUUUUGGAAGUCAUGUUUUUCUCGAUAGAAUCCAGCCUUUGUCGAGCGCACGCCGCUAACGAUAAAAUGUGCCACAAAGACAAUUGUCCAGUUCGUUAUAUAAGAAAGUUGGUAAAUUAUAUCGACUGCGCCGAGAAAAGUUUGGACGUGUGUAUACACAUGUUGACUUGCCAAUCGUUAGCAAACGCUAUUGUGAACGCGCGUAAACGAGGCAUAGCUGUGAGGGUAAUACUGGACCGAAGCAAAGCUGUUAACGAUGCGUCGCAAACGGCUGUGUUUCACAGCAACGGUGUGGUGAUUAGAAUGCCAGACCUGGAUGUCCUGAUGCACCACAAAUUCUUGAUCGUGGACAGUGAAAUAUUGAUCAGCGGCAGCACGAAUUGGACGAUGUCCGCCUUCUUCGGAAAUUUUGAAAAUAUCGUUGUGACCAACCACAGUUCCACGGUGAAACCUUUUGUCGAGGAGUUUGAAAGGUUGUGGACGUUAUUCGAACAUCCGAUACCCUCAGAGUUGGAAGAAAGUUUGAAACGUCCGGUUUAUAACUCGCCCAACGACAUUUUGUAACUCGAUCGGUGGAUCCUGAGAUCCAGCGACGGGCAGCGUAUCCAGACAUAUUCAGAUCUAUGGAGUCACGUGGCGCAGAACUCGAGAGAUCCACCGCCACGAUACGAAGUGCUAUGACGCGCGGCGCGCAUCGAGCGAUGUUGAAAUAUUGCCGCAAGGAUGCAACUGAUGCGCCGCAACGCUGUUAGUCGGUGUUCUCAUCGGUCGAUAGAAGUGGAACAUUGUCCGUGUGUAUAAAUAGGUUAGCCUGUACGAAAAUAGACGUCGGGCCGUUGGACUGGUGGAUCGAUGAUGAUCCCGGCGACUAGCCGCCCGAUGGCUGGACGUUCUUCUUUCAUUUCCCACCCUUUGACCAAAUAAUUCACGGUCUCGGUGCUUCCGAUGUUACCACAAGCGCCUUUUUUUCCUAACAGUAUUUGGCUAUUCAAAGAGCGUGUUCCAACUAUAGAUGUGAACGCAUCACCCUCUGCAUCUAAUCUCAGUCGUCGAAUCCACGUGUGCACACGUGGAUAUACAUAAGGCGUUAAAGUUGAUGGCCGAAGUCUGCAUGAAAUAGGUCGUAGUACUAUAUUUAUAUGUAUACUUCAUAGAUGAGAGUACAUUUAAACGUAGGAAAGAACUCAACGUUACAACAGGUGUCGCCAUUUGAUGUGAAUUGAUGGAUACUAUAUGUUUCUAAGGUUUAGACCAUCGAAUUUAGCACAGCCUGUAUAGAAUUGUAUAUGUAUGUAUGUACACACGACAAGGGUGCAGCUGGUCGAAGCAACGACUAAGAAUAGCCACGCGACUCACGGAAAUAGCAAUGCGCAAGCCCGAAAUACGCAUUGUAUCCAGAUACGAUAGAAGCCGGUUGCACGUUGGCGCCUUUUGACGUUCACCAAGUUGACUUUACUCUUGUAUCUUGCCACCCCAACGCCGGUAGGCUCGUAUCAUUUUCGUUUCCCGAAGUACAGUCGUUAACGAUUCCGCGAAUCGUUUGCUUCUCUUUCGAAUCGCGUGAUAAAUUUCGCGAUUCCACUUUGUGGAAAUCUUCCAUUGACCGACGUCCGACCGCCUUCGAAGAAUUCUUUUUGCGUCGCACGUGCGUCGCGUCUCUUGAGACAUUUUUAUUGUUUUCCGUUCGAGCCAAUGAACAAGGAAAACACGGAAAGUUUGGCAACCGGGCAUUUUAAAAGAUCGCGAAACGAGUAGAUGCUAACAAUGUAGAUUUUCGUUUGUUUUUGUAAUGAAACGAUCCUGGGGGUGGAGAACACCCUCUUCGAACGGAUUGCGAGUUUUUGGAUCGUAUCGUUGCUGAAACGAAAAGCAGUUAGUUUAUAUGUGUGAUUGCGCGAUAUAUGUAUGUAUGUAACUGAAAACCUCGGUGAAAAGAAGGUGUCUCGUAGGUUAAGGACGGGUCAGGUCUCACGAGUGGCACGUUCGCGAUACUCGACGCGAGUCGAGAAAAUGAAAAAGGUGGAAGAUCAAGUAUUCGUUGAUGGCCCUCUUGGUUGCACUUUUUCGCGUUUGAGAAUCGUGGAUGAAAGGCGAAACGGAAACGAGAACUUGAAAUUUGGGAAAAGUGCGCAAAGUACGAAUCGCUAAACAGGUCACGUGUUCCUCUUAAAUUAAAAAUUGGAAAUGUAAAAUUGGAAGCAGAAACGCUCGUAUAUAUUUUCGUGACCGCCUUUAAAAAAGAGAAAUAAGAAAACGAUGCGUUUGUUAGGCCGGCUACUGGAAAAACUUGGCAAAGGAGUUGUCAAUGACGUCAAAUCUAAGAAAAGAUCUGCUAGAUAAGCCUUACUGAUGAGUCCAACUAGCAGACGCGGAACGGAACAUAGAACAUUGCUCUUUAUACCAAUACUAUCAGUAUUAUUAAAUUAUGAAUUGAUUACAGUGAUAGAUGAAAUCUUUUCUGAAAAAGGCCUGAUUCCAUACAUGGAAUGCUCGGAAAUUCGAGAUGGUUACGGAAACCGUAGGAAAAGAUAAUAAACGAGUCGGUACACGUGAUUCUAUGUAAUUGCAACGUUUAUUUUGGUAAUGUUUAUAUAGAAAACAUUGCUUAGCGUUAACGGAGGCCUGACGCGCCGUCUUCGCUGCACAUUUCUUCCGUUCGGUGGUGCGUUUCGUUUCUUACUAUCGUGUUUUCCGUAGAGAUGGGCAAUAUCUUAUUUAAAUAGUAAACGAAUACAAACACUGUACAGCGACAAAAGGUUGUGUAUUUUUCGAGAUUCGUAUUUAGGUAAAUGAUCUGCCCAUCUCUAAUUUUCAGCGGCUUUGAGAGCCACGUACCGCGAAAGCACAUGUGUACUUCGGUGGUAAGAUAGCUCCAGCAAGUAUGUACUGUCGUCACGCGAGUAGAGUACGAUAGACUCCGCCUGUAGGAUGAACAUACUACAGAGUUUAGUUUUAUAAACAAUUGAGCGUCUGCGAUGCAAGAAAAUGCGUCUUCCGAUAGACAACGCUUUUCACACUUGGCAUGCGGGUACACUUCGCCGCUGACUUACGCGUGCAGCGGCCAAAAAUCUACUAAAUACGUAUUUUUAUGUGACCCGCGCUCCAGUGACAGACUGCGAAAAACGUAAAAGUACGUUGCUCGCACGCCAAGUGUUCAUAGUCUAAGUCUAAUUGUAAGUAAACGCGACACUAACGUCUCGCUGAAUACGAUUGGUUGGCCCUGGGGGCGUGGCCAGUUGCAUUCUCCUCGCGCGACAACAGUACUCCACCGAUCUUCUUCUGUUCGCUCCAUCUACUAAUAAAUUGCUAGAAGAAUAUAUGCGCGCUAUGCGUAUGCGUACUCUAUAUCGCUUAAUAACAUUAAAUAUCGUUUAGUCCGUUUCGAAUGUUACGCCAAUUGGCGUCUUCGUCCUGUUUUCGCGCACAUUCGAACGUGUUUCACUUCGCGUUCUCUGCUAUCGCGUUCUUCCUACGUUCUCGAUGGUACGAUACUCUCGAUUAUCACGCAAGGCCUCGCCAGGUACACUUCUAUCUAUACCGGUUCACGUUCUCUAGUCUAUGUAAUUAUGGUAACGUAAUAAAUUACUAGGAAAUCCGCAGUC